GGUGAACUGAAAGGUGAACUGUCUUUUGCUUACCACUGGAUGAGAACAUCUGCGUCAAAGAGUCAUUCUGAAGUAGCUGAUGAAUUUACGAGCUCAUACUCUCCAAAGCAUCUGAGAUAAAAAUGGCUCUUACUGCGCUGGCACACUGGCAACUGCUGCAAAGCAAAGUGUUCCCCCGAGAUGUGAAACUCAGCAAUUUCCCACUGAGUGCUGGACCAGCUGUGGAAGGAGGGGGAAUAAAAGGUUUUGCUGUAAGAAAGCUGGAAAGUCACCUCACUCAUG
rnacentral:lncRNA from 1 species